rnacentral:rRNA from 1 species
CCUACGGGCGGCAGCAGUGAGGAAUAUUGGUCAAUGGACGAGAGUCUGAACCAGCCAAGUAGCGUGAAGGAUGACGGCCCUAUGGGUGGUAAACUUCGUUUAUAUGGGAAUAAAAUGUUCCACGUGUGGGAUUUUGUAUGUACCAUAUGAAUAAGGAUCGGCUAACUCCGUGCCAGCAGCCGCGGUAAUACGGAGGAUCCGAGCGUUAUCCGGAUUUAUUGGGUUUAAAGGGAGCGUAGGUGGUUUGUUAAGUCAGUUGUGAAAGUUUGCGGCUCAACCGUAAAAUUGCAGUUGAAACUGGCAGUCUUGAGUACAGUAGAGGUGGGCGGAAUUCGUGGUGUAGCGGUGAAAUGCUUAGAUAUCACGAAGAACUCCGAUUGCGAAGGCAGCUCACUGGACUGCAACUGACACUGAGGCUCGAAAGUGUGGGUAUCAAACAGGAUUAGAUACCCCUGUAGUC